UAUUUUAAUAGAAUAAAUGAUACAACAGUUAUGUUGCAAAGAAAACUCAGAACGGACCAUAGAUUUCUGAACUGUAAUCUGGAAGAUUAAACUCAAGUCCGAAACCAGAAAUCAAUAAAUCUUAAUAAACCUUAACUAUCAAGUUAGAAAGCAAACCCGUGACUAGUGAGUGAGAUAUGAGAGAAUAUAAUGAACUGAAAGUUGGUUCAAAAACAGGGUUACAGAAGAAGAAACAAAGGAGGAGAAUAAGGGAGAGAAGUUGGAAAGAAAACAACUGAGAGAAUCAGAUCUGAAUUGACAAAGAAUUAAGAAGAAGAAGAAGAAAGCAAUUGACCAGCAGUCACGCAC